rnacentral:lncRNA from 1 species
UUCGAUGGAAGCGCAGACACGAACUCCACAAACGCGAACUCGACAAUGUGGUUGCAAUCACGGAAGCGCAGCCCAGUUUGCGACAAACACGAACUCAGGCAGAAGGAGAAACAACAAUAACGCCCUGAGAGUACCCUUUCCGGGACUCUUUCCUUUCCUACUUUUCUUCGACCUGCGAAAGUGAGCAAAUGUUAAAACGACGAACGCCUAAUGUUAAAACGAAAGGACGUGCCUCAAUGGAUAAGUGGCAAAG